rnacentral:rRNA from 1 species
AGCGAACGCUGGCGGCAGGCCUAACACAUGCAAGUCGAACGAACCUUUCGGGGUUAGUGGCGGACGGGUGAGUAACACGUGGGAACGUGCCUUUAGGUUCGGAAUAACUCAGGGAGACUUGUGCUAAUACCGAAUGUGCCCUUCGGGGGAAAGAUUAAUCGCCUUUAGAGCGGCCCGCGUCUGAUUAGCUAGUUGGUUGAGGUAAUGGCUCACCAAGGCGACGAUCAGUAGCUGGUCUGAGAGGAUGAUCAGCCACAUUGGGACUGAGACACGGCCCAAACUCCUACGGGAGGCAGCAGUGGGGAAUCUUGCGCAAUGGGCGAAAGCCUGACGCAGCCAUGCCGCGUGAAUGAUGAAGGUCUUAGGAUUGUAAAAUUCUUUCACCGGGGACGAUAAUGACGGUACCCGGAGAAGAAGCCCCGGCUAACUUCGUG